rnacentral:rRNA from 1 species
AGCAUGUGGUUUAAUUCGACGAUACGCGAAGAACCUUACCUGGCCUUGACAUAGACAGAACUUUCCAGAGACGGAAAAGUGCUAGUUUACUAGAGCUUUCAUACAGGUGCUGCACGGCUGUCGUCAGCUCGUGUCGUGAGAUGUUGGGUUAAGUCCCGCAACGAGCGCAACCCUCGUGUUUAGUUACUAACAGUUCGGCUGAGGACUCUAAACAGACUGCCUGGGUAACCAGGAGGAAGGUGAGGACGACGUCAAGUCAUCAUGGCCCUUACGGCCAGGGCUACACACGUGCUACAAUGGGGUAUACAAAGAGCUGCAAUACGGUGACGUGGAGCAAAUCUCAUAAAAUAUCUCCCAGUUCGGAUUGAAGUCUGCAACUCGACUUCAUGAAGUUGGAAUCGCUAGUAAUCGUAGAUCAGCAAUGCUACGGUGAAUACGUUCCCGGGUCUUGUACUCACCGCCCGUCACACCAUGGGAAUUGAAUUCAUUCGAAGCGGGGAUGCUAAAAUAGCUACCUUCCACAGUGGAUUUAGUAACUAGGGUGAAGUCGUAACAAGGUA